rnacentral:rRNA from 1 species
GACGUAGGGCGCGAGCGUUGUCCGGAUUUAUUGGGCGUAAAGAGCUCGUAGGCGGCUUGUCGCGUCGACUGUGAAAUCCCGCGGCUCAACUGCGGGUCUGCAGUCGAUACGGGCAGGCUAGAGUUCGGUAGGGGAGACUGGAAUUCCUGGUGUAGCGGUGAAAUGCGCAGAUAUCAGGAGGAACACCAAUGGCGAAGGCAGCUCGCUGGGACGGUACUGACGCUGGAGAACGCGAAAGCGUGGGGAGCAAACAGG